UAAUUGGCGAUGAAGAGAAAGAGUACAAAAAGGAAUUGUCAGCAGCGAGGAUGGGAAAGGUGUAAGCCAUCGGCGAGGAAUUUUUGGAAGUGCAUCUCUGAGCAGAAGGGCAGAAAAUGAAGUAUGUCUUUCCGUAGUAACUGCGUUAAAGUUUUGAGUAGAAACGACUUUAGUCGUUUAAUCAGAGUGGAACCGCGGAAUUUUUCGUCUCUGGA
rnacentral:ncRNA from 1 species